GCACCUUGCCCAAACAACGUUAGUGCAUUUGAGAAGGCUGUCGGGAGUUUGGCUGAGAACCCAGAUGAGAGUGUGAUUACCCCAGUUAUUGGCACUACAUUUGACUCAGUGGGUAAGGCGUACAACUUCUACAAUUUGUACUUGUGGGAGAAAGGCAGCCGACUGAAUGUCAAGAGGACAAAAUGCAUGCCAUAA
rnacentral:rRNA from 1 species